rnacentral:rRNA from 1 species
GCACAUAGUUAGCCGGUGCUUCUUCUGUAGGUACCGUCACUUUCGCUUCUUCCCUACUGAAAGAGGUUUACAACCCGAAGGCCUUCAUCCCUCACGCGGCGUCGCUGGGUCAGAGUUUCCUCCAUUGCCCAAUAUUCCCCA